CCUACGGGUGGCAGCAGUGAGGAAUAUUGGUCAAUGGGCGGGAGCCUGAACCAGCCAAGUCGCGUGAGGGAAGACGGUCCUACGGAUUGUAAACCUCUUUUGCCGGGGAGCAACGGGGUCCUUGCGAGGGCCCAAUGAGAGUACCCGGAGAAAAAGCAUCGGCUAACUACGUGCCAGCAGCCGCGGUAAUACGUAGGGGGAAAGCGUUAUCCGGAUUUACUGGGUGUAAAGGGAGCGUAGACGGUGCGCCAAGUCUGGAGUGAAAUGCCGCAGCUUAACUGCGGAACUGCUUUGGAAACUGGCGAACUAGAGGGCGGGAGGGGUAAGCGGAAUUCCUAGUGUAGCGGUGAAAUGCGUAGAUAUUAGGAGGAACACCGGUGGCGAAGGCGGCUUACUGGACCGUAACUGACGUUGAGGCUCGAAAGCGUGGGGAGCAAACAGGAUUAGAUACCCGAGUAGUC
rnacentral:rRNA from 1 species